AGGAGGGCAGCUAUAGUCCACACAGGGCAUCACUCCCAAUCUCAAAAUGCUCAGACUUAUGGUUUAGAUCAAGACUAUUUCCCAAAGGCCUCACACAUUCAUAGGCAGAGUUUUUGGAAGGUGACUGAAUCAUGCGGGUGAUGCAGCUGACUUGUUAGCAGGUAAGGUCUGGUCGGAAGAGGCGGGUCCCCUGGGGCGUGGCCUGGAAGAACAUAUCUCCCUCCCAGGCUUGUCCCUUAGCUUUCUGCUUCCUGGCCGCCGUGAUGUGAGCAGCUAUCCUCCGCCAGUCCCUCCCAUCCCGUUCUUCCUGCCUUGGAGCCAGCGGACAACGGGUGGAAAACAUGAACCAAAGUGAGGUUCUUUUAUUGAAGCUGUGUGCGUCUGGUAAUGGGUCUUAGUGAUGAGAAUGUGACUAAGACACAGGCACUAAAAACCCCUUCACCUCCUGCAGCCUGUUGGUUUGGUCCAUCAGUCACCGGAUCCUUACCAAGCAGAAGUGUCUUGUGGAUACAUCCCAAAGAGGGUGCCCUAAUCUAAAGAGGCAGAGAAGUUUCCAGAUGGUUCUUGUUAUUCUCUCCUUCCUGACUUGACCCAGCGUUCAGAACAGCAGCAAGGGACAGCACUGAUGUGACGUCACCGUGGGCAGAGCGGAGGAGUUGUGUGUCCUCCUGGGGUGGCUCUGCCUGGCAGCAGUCCCCAUCGCCCAGCUCCGGGGCUGCCUCCCACGGUAGCCUCACAGCGAGCUGCUGCUCCUGAAGGUGCCCUCUGGACUCACUCGCAUGAAGGGUCCCCUCAGGUCCAGGCUCUGGUGGCCUGAAAGGAGGCUUCGCGAAGGGAUGAAGUUGAGAAAAAUUACGAGACACCCACGCAUGUGUGUCCUUCCAAAUCAUCACUGUGGGUCUCCUAGAAUAGUGGAAGGAAAUGGGCAUCUCUGACAUGCGUGUCAGUGUUCUUAGAGGUGACUAUGUUACAGGUGACUGUUGCUUGUAGCUGCUACUCAUCCCAGUCCUCCCUUUCUAGUAGAACCCCUGGGGCACAGGGCAGCAGCAGCAGACCCUGAAAAACAUACUCUCCCAGCCAAGGGACACAAACACCUCUGUGGAUGGGGUUUGCAAGGAAGCUUCUGGAAAAGUGAACUCUUUGAAGCUUUGGCUUGGACUUCCUCCUCCACCGUGCCUAGCAGGUAGUCACCCCCAUGCCAGACAUGGAGCUGCCUUCUUAUGCACACAGGAUUGAGACCCAGCCAAGCUAUGAGAAGGAACGGUGGCUCCUGUCUCCUGGCAGCCUUCGUUCUGCCCUGGAAGCUUCUGGCUUUGAGAACACACAUGCAACUGGAGAAAAACCGGCCCCUAUUCAGUAAGUGGCUGUGCUUAGUCCAAAAAACAGACAUUCUGCUCAGUGCAACAACAAACAAAGAAAAUUUAUAAAAUGUAGAGCAAUAGGUUUUUUCCUGAACCGCCCCCCAAAGAUAUGUUGGAACCUCAGGUUGUGAACUUACCUGGAAUAAUAAGGAUCUUUGCAACUAUAAUUCAGGUAAGGAUCUUGAGGUGAGUCACUCUUGAAUUAGGAUGGGCCCUGAAUCCAAUGACAGGUAUCCCCAUAAGAGGCAGAAAAGAAGACAAGGGAAGAUGGAAGGAGAUAAAGGCAGAGAUUGGAAGGAUGGGGCCACAAGCUGAGGAAUGCAGGAACCGACCCCAGAGCCUUUAAAGGGAUGGAGGCUCCUUUGUCAUCUGGAUUUAUUUCAUAUUUAUGGCCUCCAGAACUUAGAAAAUAAAUUUCUGUCAUUUGUCAUUUGUUACAGCAGUCCUAGGAAACGAAUACUUGUGGGAAAAAGUGUCCUCAGAGGAUAACCAGAGGAGUUCUCUGGUUAAAGAACCAGACAGACAGGUACCAAAUUAGAAUAGUGACAACCACCGUCGCUGAGCACGGCUUUGCUGCAUUCCGUCCCCUCACCCUCUCAGCAGGUCUGGAGAGUGAGGAGGAGAAGUUGGUGGCAGGUGCUUGGUCCCAGUGGCACCGGGCCAGAAGAAAGGGCCCGGGAGGAUUGUCCUCCGGUAUGGGACGGUGAGUGGGACCAGAACAUGACAGCUGGGUUGACUGAGUUUUGCACUGGAGAGCAGGAGGCGUUUGAAGGGCGCCCCCUGCUGGCCUCUUUCCCUUCCUGCCACUUGUGCUGCGCUGUAGGAAUCGCAGGGAAACCUUUGGACUCCGGUCCUUGCAAAGGGCUGGGCGCUGGGAGACACUGCACCAACACAGCGUUGGCCUGCGGCUUCUCCCUGGUUGCUCUGACACCAGAGCCCAAGCUAAGCGGUUCUGCUCCACGGGGUCACAAUAGCCCAGACGUGCAUCCAGGCACAGGGACAUAAAGGAGAUCGCAACGACCUCUCUGCAGCCUCCUACCCCGUGCGGCCGCUUCAGGUCGUGCUGGGAGACGCAGAUCGUUCUAGCUCCUUCUGCAUUCACCACCGCACCUGUGGUGCCGACCUGGACUCGUGCCAGUGAGGAACCGGUUCGCCUUGCGACUGCUCUGGCUCCUCCAGGUCUCAGGCCACUUGUCACCCUCUCCCAUAACGCUCACAUCUGCUAACUCUCAAGAAUCGAGCGGAGGGCAAUCAUCUCCGCAGAGCGCUCCAGAGACCAUCCUGCGAUGGCUGAGAAACUCGCCCAGCCGGCCAGCGCCAGAUGAGAAAUUGCUUCGCCUCAGCGGUUCUGCAAAAUUCAGUGCUUUUUGCUGGAGCCGAGGGUCAGUUUUUGGAAAGUUUCUUGCAUGAUCAUCACAAAUCGCCACCUGGUCUGAAUUGCCUGGGAGAUCAUUGAGGGGGGAUCUGGGAUCAGGCCCUGCUCUUGUUUAGGAAAGAUCCUUCUAGAAUGUGAAUACUACAGAG